GUGCUUGCUUCAACAGCACAUACACUAAAGUUUGGAUCAUACAGAGAAGAUGAGCAUGGCCCUGAUCAGGGGUGACGUCAAACUCGUGAAUCGUCCUAAGUUAAA
ensembl:snRNA U6 U6 spliceosomal RNA